UGGUGAUAAAGAGAAUGGUCAAAAGGAAGGUGACCAGAAAUAAUUAAGAGUUUGGAAGUUCUUAGGAAUGGCUAAGGUGUGUUAGUUUAUUUACAAGGAAUACUACUGUCUAAGAAAAGGUUAGAUUCCUAGAAGUUAAAUACCUAGCUACCUUAGUAGUCUAGAUAUUAAAGAAUAAAAUUCCUAUAUUCUAUGAGGUU
rnacentral:lncRNA from 1 species